rnacentral:rRNA from 1 species
GAAUUUUGGACAAUGGGCGAAAGCCUGAUCCAGCAAUGCCGCGUGCAGGAUGAAGGCCUUCGGGUUGUAAACUGCUUUUGUACGGACCGAAAAGCUUUGGGUUAAUACCCUGGAGUCAUGACGGUACCGUCAGAAUAAGCGCCGGCGCACUACGUACGAGACGCCGCGGCAAUACGUAGGGUGCAAGCGCUAAUCGGAAUUACUGGGCGUAGAGCGUGCGCAGGCGGUGUUGUAAGACAGAGGUGACAUCCCCGGGCUCAACCUGGGAACUGCCUUUGUGACUGCAAGGCUAGAGUACGGGAGAGGGGGGUGGAAUUCCGCGUGUAGCAGUGAAAUGCGUAGAUAUGCGGAGGAACACCGAUGGCGAAGGCAACCCCCUGGGCCUGUACUGACGCUCAUGCACGAAAGCGUGGGGAGCAAACAG